rnacentral:rRNA from 1 species
AUUGAACGCUGGCGGCAGGCCUAACACAUGCAAGUCGAACGAGUGGCGGACGGGUGAGUAAUGUCUGGGAAACUGCCCGAUGGAGGGGGCUAACUACUGGAAACGGUAGCUAAUACCGCAAACCAUCGGAUCGGCCCAGACGGGAUUAGCUAGUCGGGGGGGUAAAGGGUCACCGAGGCGAAGAUGCCUAGCUGGUCUGAGAGGAUGACCGGCCACACUGGAACUGAGACACGGUCCAGACUCCUACGGGAGGCAGCAGUGGGGAAUAUUGCGCAAUGGGCGCAAGCCUGAUGCAGCCAUGCCGCGUGUAUGAAGAAGGCCUUCGGGUUGUAAAGUACUGUCAGCGGGGAGGCGUUACCCGCAGAGGAAGCACCGGCUAACUCCGUGCCAGCAGCCGCGGUAAUUC